rnacentral:rRNA from 1 species
GAUGAACGCUGGCGGCGUGCUUAACACAUGCAAGUCGAACGGUGAAGCAGAGCUUGCUCUGUGGAUCAGUGGCGAACGGGUGAGUAACACGUGAGCAACCUGCCCUGGACUCUGGGAUAAGCGCUGGAAACGGCGUCUAAUACUGGAUACGAGACGUGGCCGCAUGGUCAACGUUUGGAAAGAUUUUUUGGUUCAGGAUGGGCUCGCGGCCUAUCAGCUUGUUGGUGAGGUAAUGGCUCACCAAGGCGUCGACGGGUAGCCGGCCUGAGAGGGUGACCGGCCACACUGGGACUGAGACACGGCCCAGACUCCUACGGGAGGCAGCAGUGGGGAAUAUUGCACAAUGGGCGAAAGCCUGAUGCAGCAACGCCGCGUGAGGGAUGACGGCCUUCGGGUUGUAAACCUCUUUUAGCAAGGAAGAAGCGAAAGUGACGGUACUUGCAGAAAAAGCGCCGGCUAACUACGUGCCAGCAGCCGCCGUAAAAC